rnacentral:rRNA from 1 species
AUGGAUUACUGUCCGACCUGUAAGGAAUGUAGAUGGAAAUCUGCUGCAACUGAUGAAUCAGAUGUCGAGAGGACAAACUAUAAAGGGAAGAAGCAAGUGGCCCGUAAUGUUCUAAUUUAUUUCCCACUCACUCCACGGCUACAACAUCUAUUUAUGACCGAGGCUACAUCAUCAUAUAUGAGAUGGCAUAAGGACGACCAUGUGGAUGAUGGUAUAAUGCGGCACCCUGCAGAUUCUUUGGCAUGGAAGCAUUUUGAUAACAUUUAUUCUAAAGGAUUCUCUUCGGAUGCACGGAAUGUAAGGCUUGGGCUUGCAUCUGAUGGGUUCAACCCAUAUGGGAUAAUGAAUGUGUCAUACUCUUGUUGGCCAGUGAUUCUAAUUCCAUAUAACAUGCCUCCUUGGUUGUGUUUGAAACAACCAUAUUGGUUAAUGUCGAUGAUAAUUCCUGGAAAAAAGUCACCAGGAAAUAACAUCGAUGUAUAUCUACAGCCUUUGAUAGAUGAACUCAAAGAUCUAUGGUAUGUUGGUGCCGACACAUAUGAUGCCACAACGAAGAAGAAAUUUCAGAUGCAUGCAGCCCUCAUGUGGACAAUUAAUGAUUUCCCAGCUUAUGCAAUGCUAUCUGGUUGGAGCACAAAAGGAAAACUAGCAUGCCCAUAUUGCCACAUGCACACAGACCAUUUAUGGUUGAAAUAUGGACGCAAGUACUGUUACAUGGGUCAUCGCCAUUUUCUAAGUUGUGACCACAAGUGGCGUAGAAACAAGAGUUGCUUCAAUAACGAGACAGAAAAUAGAGAUGCUCCGGUGCCACUCUCGGGCAAUGACAUGGUACAACAACAUGCAAGUUUUGAGCAGGAAACCUUUGGGAAAACUAGAAAGAGGAAGCGUGAUGAUGAUAAUAAGUGGCAUAAUUGGAGGAAGAAGAGUAUAUUUUUUGAUCUCCCUUAUUGGAAGAACUUGCUUGUUAGGCAUAAUUUGGAUGUAAUGCACAUUGAGAAGAACAUUUGUGACAUCUUUUUAGGGACAUUGCUUGAUAUGGAUGGUAAAUCAAAGGAUACUCUGAAGGCCCGUCUUGAUUUGCAGGACUUAAAGAUAAGGAAGGAUCUGCAUCCAAAUGUCAGUAAUGGAAAGUAUACUUUAAAUCUAGCUUGCUAUAAUGUGACAAAGGAUGAGAAGAAAAUGCUAUUCAAGUUUUUGCAUGGUGUAAGGAUGCCCGAUGGUUAUGCAUCAAACCUAAAAAGAUGUGUGUACCUCGAAGGUUGUAAGGUGUCUGGGCUCGAAACUCAUGACUGCCAUGUCCUCUUUCAGAAACUUCUUCCCAUUUGGGUACGCAAUAUACUGCCCAAGAAAUUUGUUGUCCCAUUCCUCGAGCUAAGCCUAUUCUUUGCUGCGAUUUAUUCCAAGGAAUUAAAUCUUGAAGAGCUAGCAAAGUUGAGUCGUACAAUUCCAGAAACUCUCUGUCAACUUGAGAUGAUCCUUCCACCCCAGUUAUUUAUAUCAUGA